rnacentral:rRNA from 1 species
GGCGAACGCUGGCGGCGUGCCUAAUACAUGCAAGUUGAGCGAUGAAGAUUGGUGCUUGCCCCAAUUUGAAGAGCAGCGAACGGGUGAGUAACGCGUGGGGAAUCUGCCUUUGAGCGGGGGACAACAUUUGGAAACGAAUGCUAAUACCGCAUAACAACUUUAAACAUAAGUUUUAAGUUUGAAAGAUGCAAUUGCAUCACUCAAAGAUGAUCCCGCGUUGUAUUAGCUAGUUGGUGAGGUAAAGGCUCACCAAGGCGAUGAUACAUAGCCGACCUGAGAGGGUGAUCGGCCACAUUGGGACUGAGACACGGCCCAAACUCCUACGGGAGGCAGCAGUAGGGAAUCUUCGGCAAUGGACGAAAGUCUGACCGAGCAACGCCGCGUGAGUGAAGAAGGUUUUCGGAUCGUAAAACUCUGUUGGUAGAGAAGAACGUUGGUGAGAGUGGAAAGCUCAUCAAGUGACGGUAACUACCCAGAAAGGGACGGCUAACUACGUG